CCAUAGAGUUUAGGGGCCAGAGCGACCGUGCAGGGAGGUGGCAGGAAAGGCUGGGAACAGCUGCCGGAGGUGACGGAGCGGUGGCCCCGCCCAGUGCGCUGGAAGAAGAAGCUUCCAGGUAGCGGCCCGCGGAGUCUGACCCAGAGUACGACGAGGCAGUCGGCGGGAGCCCACGGUCCCUGGGCGGCCUCUUUAAGGGAGGGGGCGGAGCCACGUGGAAGGAUCGCGAGGCUCCAGACUUCCUGAGCCCAGGUCCCCCCAGCUCAGUGCAGCCAUGAGUGCGGAGGUGAAGGUGACAGGGCAGAACCAGGAGCAAUUCCUGCUCCUGGCGAAGUCGGCCAAGGGGGCAGCGCUGGCCACACUCAUCCACCAGGUGCUGGAGGCCCCUGGUGUCUACGUGUUUGGGGAACUGCUGGAUAUGCCUAAUGUUAGAGAGCUGGCUGAGAGUGACUUCGCUUCCACGUUCCGGCUGCUCACGGUGUUUGCUUAUGGGACAUACGCUGACUACUUAGCUGAAGCCCGGAAUCUUCCCCCACUCACAGAGGCUCAGAAGAAUAAGCUUAGACACCUGUCAGUUGUCACCCUGGCUGCCAAGGUCAAGUGUAUCCCAUAUGCAGUGCUGCUGGAGGCCCUGGCCCUGCGGAACGUGCGGCAGCUGGAGGACCUGGUCAUCGAGGCCGUGUACGCCGACGUGCUUCGCGGCUCCCUGGACCAGCGCAACCAGCGGCUGGAGGUUGACUACAGCAUCGGGCGGGACAUCCAGCGCCAGGACCUCAGUGCCAUUGCCCGAACCCUGCAGGAGUGGUGUGUGGGCUGCGAGGUGGUGCUCUCUGGCAUUGAGGAGCAGGUGAGCCGGGCCAACCAGCACAAGGAGCAGCAGCUGGGCCUGAAGCAGCAGAUCGAGAGUGAGGUGAGCAGGCAGGGGAGCAGGCCGGCCCGAGCUCCCACAGCUUCGGCUGGUUGUCCUGGGCAGAGGGGUCUGGACCGGUGCUGUAGCAGGCAGACCCGUUGGGCAGGGACCGCCAGGUUCUGGAACCUUCCUUGGUUUCCUUCCUUUCCUUCUGGUAGGUCGCCAACCUUAAAAAAACCAUCAAAGUUACUACCGCAGCCGCUGCCGCAGCCACAUCUCAGGAUCCCGAGCAACACCUGACGGAGCUGAGGGAACCGGCUCCUGGCACCAACCAGCGCCAGCCCAGCAAGAAAGCCUCGAAGGGCAAGGGGCUCCGAGGGAGCGCCAAGAUUUGGUCCAAGUCGAACUGAAGGGACUGUCGGUUCUUCCCCGGAUGUGGGUCCUAGCUGCCUGCCUGCCCCUUAGGAGUCCUCAGAGAGCCUUCCUGUGCCCCUGGCCAGCUGAUAAUCUAGGUUCAUGACCCCUCCCCGCCCUUCUCUCCCCCACCCCCAAGCAGAGAUGACACCUUCUCUAGGGAGGAGGCAAGUACAAGUCAUGUUUUUGUUGGUACUUUUUGUUUGAUGUGACUUUCUUGUGUGUCCCAUUGUCCCCUCCUCCUCCCUGCCAUGCUCUGUCCCCUAUUUCUUUAGGAGCCAGCAUCUGUCCCUGUUUAUCAUGUCACUGAGUAGGUGAGGUGGUUGCAUCUCCAGCAUAACCCACACCUGUCGGUCCUGCCAGCGCCCCCCUCCCCGCAUGCUGAACCCUGACUCCUGCCCCUGCCCCUGCCCCAGUCUCCUUGGGCAGCCUGCCCAGAGCCCUAGGGCUCCCACCUUUGUUUCCACCCUGAGAGUUCUGGGAGCCAGCCGGCCCUCCCAGGAGUCCCUGGACACACACAUCCUAGAGUCCUAUCUCACUACAGUUGUUUCCUUUCCUCUCUCCUCCCCUUGGGUCCUGGGAAUGCUGCUGCUUCCAUGUCCCCAGAGCCUAAGGGCUGCUGUUUCUCGAGCUAUUGCGAUAUGGUUCUUUCCUGGGCCUGUCUUAGAAAGCCUGAUGGCAGUCCCGGAAGGAUUUACACUUCCUUUUGUGAGUUUGAUGGGGAAGGGAAGGGGAUAGAAAGUGUAUAAAAAAAGAGUAUAUAUACAUAUAUCUAUAUAUAACAUGACACAGAAAUAAAUCUAUGAGAAGUCUAUCUACAAACA